rnacentral:rRNA from 1 species
GACGAACGCUGGCGGCGUGCUUAACACAUGCAAGUCGAACGGAAAGGCCUGUCCUUCCUUGUGUUGGACGGGUACUCGAGUGGCGAACGGGUGAGUAACACGUGAGUGAUCUGCCCCCAACUUGGGUAUAAGCCUGGGAAACUGGGUCUAAUUCCCGAUAGGACUGCAGGGUGGUGCCUGUGGUGGAAAACGAUUUUCUAGUGGUUGGGGAUGAGCUCGCGGCCUAUCAGCUUGUUGGUGGGGUAAUGGCCUACCAAGGCGGCGACGGGUAGCCGGCCUGAGAGGGUGGACGGCCACAUUGGAACUGAGAUACGGCCCCGACUCCUACGGGAGGCAGCAGUGGGGAAUAUUGCACGAUGGGCGGAAGCCUGAUGCAGCGACGCCGCGUGGGGGAUGACGGCCUUCGGGUUGUAACCUCCUUUCGACCGCGAGGAAGCCGCCUGGUUGGAAGGGUGGUGACGGUAGUGGUAGAAGAAGCACCGGCUAACUACGUG